GACGAACGCUGGCGGCGUGCCUAAUACAUGCAAGUCGAACGCAGUGGGGACGGGUGAGUAACACGUGGGUAACCUCCCAUCAGAGGGGAUAACCCUUGGAAACAGGUGCUAAACCGAUAUUGGUGGAUGGACCCGCUGUGCAUUAGCUAGUUGGUUAGGGAACGGCUCACCAAGGCCAAGAUGCAUAGCCGACCGGAGAGGGUUAUCGGCCAUACUGGGACUGAGACACGGCCCAGACUCCUACGAGUGGCAGCAGUAGGUAAGCUUCGGCAAUGGACGAAAGUCUGACCGAGCAACGCGGCGUGAGUGAAGAAGGUUUUCGGAUUGUAAAACUCUGUUGUUAGAGAAGCGGUAUCUAACCAGAAAGCCACGGCUAACUACGGGCCAGCAGCCGCGGUAAUUC
rnacentral:rRNA from 1 species